CGGCCACAGCCCAAAACUCAAAGGACUUGGCGGUGCUUCAUACCCUUCUAGAGGAGCCUGUUCUAUAAUCGAUAAACCCCGAUAAACCUCACCAGUCCUUGCUAAUACAGUCUAUAUACCGCCAUCUUCAGCGAACCCUAAAAAGGAAUAGAAGUAAGCACAACCACAACACAUAAAAACGUUAGGUCAAGGUGUAACCCAUGGAGUGGGAAGAAAUGGGCUACAUUUUCUAUCCUAAGAA
rnacentral:rRNA from 1 species